rnacentral:rRNA from 1 species
CCUACGGGAGGCAGCAGUGGGGAAUAUUGCACAAUGGGGGAAACCCUGAUGCAGCCACGCCGCGUGAGCGAUGAAGGAUUUCGGAAUGUAAAGCUCUAUCAGCAGUGAAGAAAAUGACGGUAGCGGACUAAGAAGCCCCGGCUAACUACGUGCCAGCAGCCGCGGUAAUACGUAGGGUGCAAGCGUUAUACGGAUUUACUGGGUGUAAAGGGAGCGUAGGCGGUUCUGCAAGCCAGAUGUGAAAUGCCGGGGCUCAACCCCGGGACUGCAUUUGGGACUGUAUGUCGAGAGUGUUGGAGAGGCAGGCGGAAGUCCUAGUGUAGAGGUGAAAUUCGUAGAUAUUAGGAGGAACACCAGUGGCGAAGGCGGCUAUCUGGCCGAUGACUGACGUUGAGGCUCGAAAGCGUGGGGAGCAAACAGGAUUAGAUACCCCGGUAGUC